rnacentral:rRNA from 1 species
GAACGCUGGCGGUGUGCUUAACACAUGCAAGUCGAACGGGCAAGAGCUGUAGCAAUACAGAAUUCUGCUAGUGGCAAACGGGUGAGUAAUACAUGGGAAUCUACCUUGCAGUGCGAAAUAACAGUUGGAAGCAAUUGCUAAUGUCGCAUAUAGCCGAGAGGUGAAAGAUUUAUCGCUGCAAGACGAGCCCAUGCAGGAUUAGCUAGUUGGUGGGGUAAUGGCUCACCAAGGCAACGAUACGUAGCCGACCUGAGAGGGUGAUCGGCCACACUGGAACUGAGACACGGUC